UCUGGUCUGUUCCGGCGAAGCGUAUGGCCGCUAGAAAUCACGUCACGCCCUGCGAAGGAAAUAAAGAGCGCAGAUGAGAGAAAGCACAUGAGCUGCGCGACAGGCUGAACGUCGAUCAUUCGCGGGGUCCGACGACGUGCUCUCGCUGAAUCCGACUCUCGAACGCGUGCAGGGGUAUAGGCAACUACGCUGCUGCGUAGAGGUCUAGAAAACGCUGGCAAAAAUGGCGAUUGGAUUCUGCGCGAGGUGCUCCGUUUUGACGAUGCUGUUCGCAUUGGCGGUAUGCAUCCCAGGGUUGUCUACAGCUCAGGGAAUUCCUGGCUUGGGCGAAGCAAUGAAAGCAUUGGAGUUCAUGCAAGUUCCACGACAGUUUAUGGGAAUGAUGAACAUGCCGACAGCACAGCAGGAGCCACCCAAGGAAGCCGCACAAGCGAGGUCGGGCUAACGCGCCGGAAAUGAAAGGUUGCCACAAC